AAUUGUCAUGUGUUUGUGUGUGUUUUGCAGUGUCCUGCUGUGCUCCGGCUGAGCCUCAGCUGCUAUGGACGGAUCUCCGAAACAUGUCCCUCUUCACUCCUGCAGCUCUAAACAGUCUGAAAUGCGUGUAAUGUCCUGUAACUGUCUCUUCAUGAUUGGCUGUGAGGAAAUGUUGAGCGGAUUGAGGAGAGGACACACCUCCACCUGUCCGGAUGCUUCAAACACAUCCUCAUGUAAUAGUACUGGAGCAUUAGCAUGUGCUGGUAAUUAACUCUACGGGACUUUUAAAAUGUUUAUUCACGGGUUUAUUUUCUUUACUUGAGAGCAAAGCAGAGCAUGUAUGAACGCAGAGCGAGUCCAACUGAACAACGAGCACAUUAUUCCAUUCGUUCAUUUUAUUUGAUGUUUCGAUGAAGUAAUUGUCCUGUAAUUAGUUUUAGUCUAGGUGAGCUAAUUAAAAUGUGAAAACCAUA